rnacentral:rRNA from 1 species
UACGGGAGGCAGCAGGGGGAAUAUUGCACAAUGGGCGAAAGCCUGAUGCAGCUAUGCCGCGUGUAUGAAGAAGGCCUUAGGGUUGUAAAGUACUUUCAUCGGGGAGGAAAAACAAAACUAAUAAUUUUAUUUCUUGACGUUACCCGAAAAAGAAGCACCGGCUAACUCCGUGCCAGCAGCCGCGGUAAUACGGAGGGUGCUAGCGUUAAUCAGAAUUACUGGGCGUAAAGAGCACGUAGGUGGUUUUUUUAAGUCAGAUGUGAAAUCCCUGGGCUUAACCUAGGAACUGCAUUUUGAAACUGAAAUACUAGAGUAUCGUAGAGGGAGGUAGAAUUCUAGGUGUAGCGGUGAAAUGCGUAGAUAUCUGGAGGAAUACCUGUGGCGAAAGCGGCCUCCUAAACGAAUACUGACACUGAGGGUGCGAAAGCGUGGGGAGCAAACAGGGAUUAGAUA